UGGCGGCAAACAAGGUUGGCGAGACCGAGGCCGUGUUUCACAUUAAAGGCGGCGCGGGCUCUGGCUGCUGGUGCGUCCUCUCCCUCCUGGCGCCGGUGGUCGCCUGGACGGCCGUAGGGCUUUGUCUGCUGCUGCUGUGGCGAGGGGCGGGCGAGGGUGGCGCUGGCGCCCAUGACAAGGCUCGGCCCGUCCAUGGCACGGACACGGAGGGCAUUCGCAUGGAAGUGGCAACUCCAGCCACGGACCUCCGUUCAUCACCAGAUUAGGACAGCAAGGCGUCGAGAUAAUCUCCUGGGGCUGUUAGUUAACACAGGGUGGUUCAUUGGUAGCUAAAACAAGUCUUGCAUUGACACAUUAACAGUUGGAUAAUUUGAAUUUAAUUCGGAGGAAAAAAUAUUACAAAUAGAAAUGUAAGUCUCAAGUGUAGAUUUCAAUAAACCCGGAUUAGACUGGGGCCUGGGGGGUUUUUUCUGCCCUGCUUUGCCAGAGUUCAGGGAUCUUUAUUGGAGCAGCAGUUGCACCACAAGCGAGCCACUGCAGAAGGUCCUCUAGACAUCGUCAUCGGCACUGUAUUAUACAAAUAUUUCCAGCAGCAUCUCUCAACCAUGAUUGUGCUUUCGUUUUUUGUUGUUGAAAAUCCUAAUCUUCUUGGUUCUUUUGGUAAAAUCUUAAUUUUGGAGCUUUCGUGACUGCAGGAAUUACUCUUUGGUUCUUUCGGUAAAGUCACGUAUAAAGAUAAAAUAAUAAAUUAAAUAAUAGCAUACGACGUUUCGAUUGCAACACAAGCAAUCAUCAUCAGGUAUAAAUGAAAUAGCAACAAAAAUCUAACCAGAAAACAAUAGACAGACAUAUAAGCAGGCAGAUAUCACGUGGAAGGGAAGUAAUAAAAUAAUAAAAAUAAAACAUAAUAUUUAUUUUAUUAUUUCCCUUCUACGUGGCUUUACUGAAAGAACCAAGAAGAUGAAUCCCUGCAGUCAUGAAAGCUUUAAAUCGAAAAGCCUAAUAUUAAUGUUUUUACUGUAACCGAGCUUGCUAAGAAAUUGUGAUAAUUGUGCUUGACUUGACAAUAUAUUGAGCCUGAUUAGUGCUCCCACAUUAAUAUUAGAGUUGUAAGGACCACUUGCAGCACUGACAAUAUUCAAAUUUCCUUCCAUUGAUUAACAUAUUUUCGCUUUACUGUUUUUUUGUAAUAAUCCCAAUGUUUUUCCUUUGGACGUGAAUUCAACAGAAGCGAAGUUGUAACAUACUGAGUUGUGGAAUUCAUGUUAUGCGAAUAACUACAAACAUGAUGAACUCUGUUGACGCAAACAUGGACGUGCGCGCUUUAUUGUAUUAUUCUGAUGAAAAAU